UGAAUACGAGACGCUACGGCGUCGAAGCAGUCUAUGUCAUACUUCCAAGAAAAGCUCGCAAUGUCAUAAACAAAUAAUGCCUGUACCAUAACCGACACAGGUGGGUAGGUAGAGUAUACUAAGGGGCGCGAGAUAACUCUCUCUAAGGAACUCGGCAAAAUGACUCCGUAACUUCGGGAGAAGGAGUGCCUUAUUUAUAAGGUUGCAAUAACAAGGUCCAAGCAACUGUUUAUCAAAAACACAGGUCUCCGCUAAGUCGUAAGACGAUGUAUGGGGGCUGACGCCUGCCCAGUGCCAGAAGGUUAAAGAAGUUGGUUAGCAUUCGCGAAGCUGAUAACUGAAGCCCUGGUGAACGGCGGCCGUAACAAUAACGGUCCUAAGGUAGCGAAAUUCCUUGUCGGGUAAGUUCCGACCCGCACGAAAGGCGUAAUGAUUUGGAUACUGUCUCGGAGAGGGGCUCGGUGAAAUAGACUUGUCUGUGAAGAUGCGGACUACCUGCACCUGGACAGAAAGACCCUAUGAAGCUUUACUGUAACUUGAAAUUGAAAUUGGACUUUAUUUGCGCAGCAUAGGUGGGAGGCGUUGAGAGUAUUCUUGCGGGAAUAUUGGAGCCAUCAGUGAGAUACCACUCUUGUAAUGUUAGAUUUCUAACUUUGGAUCAUUAUCUGGUCAAAGAACAGUUUCAGGCGGGCAGUUUGACUGGGGCGGUCGCCUCCCAAAUGGUAACGGAGGCGUACAAAGGUUUCCUCUGAACGGGUAGAAAUCGUAUCUAGAGUGUAAAGGCAUAAGGAAGCUUGACUGUGAGACCUACAAGUCGAGCAGGGACGAAAGUCGGUCUUAGUGAUCUGACGGUGCUGAGUGGAAAGGCCGUCACUCAACGGAUAAAAGUUACUCUAAGGAUAACAGGCUGAUCUCCCCCAAGAGUUCACAUCGACGGGGAGGUUUGGCACCUCGAUGUCGGCUCAUCGCAUCCUGGGGCGGUAGUACGUCCCAAGGGUUGGGCUGUUCGCCCAUGAAAGCGGUACGCGAGCUGGGUUCAGAACGUCGUGAGACAGUUCGGUCCAUAUCCGGUGUAGGCGUUAGAAUAUUGAGAGGAGCCUUCUUUAGUACGAGAGGACCGAGAAGGACAUACCUCUGGUGUACCAGUUAUCGUGCCAACGGUAAACGCUGGGUAGCUAUGUAUGGAGAGGAUAACCGCUGAAAGCAUCUAAGUGGGAAGCCCACCUCAAGAUAAG
rnacentral:rRNA from 1 species